rnacentral:rRNA from 1 species
ACGUAGGGUGCGAGCGUUAAUCGGAAUUACUGGGCGUAAAGCGUGCGCAGGCGGUUUUGUAAGACAGAUGUGAAAUCCCCGGGCUUAACCUGGGAACUGCGUUUGUGACUGCAAGGCUAGAGUACGGCAGAGGGGGGUGGAAUUCCUGGUGUAGCAGUGAAAUGCGUAGAGAUCAGGAGGAACACCGAUGGCGAAGGCAGCCCCCUGGGCCUGUACUGACGCUCAUGCACGAAAGCGUGGGGAGCAAACAGG